AGUUAUUGUUAGCUAGGAGGAAGACAUGGAGGGUUCAACGCUGACACAGAGGAGGGCUGAGUGUCAGUUGAAGGAAAGGGAUAUCCAGACAGAAUACAUGAUGGAGCUGGGAGCCAGGUUGGCUCUGGUGAGACAGAUCCAGAGGGAGCAGGAGAAGGAGAUGAAGAGGAUUUGGUUUGAGACGAGGAAAAUGCCAAGCCUGAUUGAGGAGAAUGUGAGAGAUGUGACCAACCGUCCACUCACUGAGUUCAUGGCUCCCUGUAUUGACUCCCUCCCACCGCUGGCUUUCACCAAUCGGAGGCCUAUACCAACCAUGUUACAUCCCCCCUCUCCAUUGGCCAUACGCGCUCAGGAUGCACAGCGGUUCAUUGUAUUUUCAUACUUUGUCCCUGCUGAGUGCCCAGUUGCCACAGCAGAUGUAUCCACUGGUAAAAGAGAGGACUUAUUGACAGAUACGCAUCUUUCCUCAAUGCUGCAUCGACACCUGCCACACUUCUUUAAUGAUGACUCCAUUCCACCACAGCAGACAGUAGAGGGAACCACUGAGCUCUCAGUUGCUCCAGUGGCAAUAUCUAAUAUAAAGGAAGAGGACAGAUUCUAUCCUUUCUCACUCCCACCACUGGCUCAGCGGUUCGUUGGCAAUUCAUUCAUUGUCCCAGAAACCUCCCAGCCUGCUGUUUCAGCCACAGAGUGCCGAGUUGCCAAAGAGGCCACUGCAGACACAGCCACUGUCAAGAGAGAGAACCGAUGGGCAGCCAGAAGUCUUCCUUCAGUGCUGCCUCCAUGCCUGCCACCAGUCUUUGACGAUGACUUCAUGCCUCCAGAGCAGACAGUAGAGGAUGCCUAUGAGGUCUCAGGUGCUACAGAGAACACUUCAGGCACAGCUACUGUUGGUGGAGUGGACAGAUCAACAGCUAAAUGCCCUGUCCCAAUGCUGCCUCCAAGUCUGCCACCUGUCUUUGACAAUGACUACAAACUGCCAGAGGAGGCAGUAGAGGGAACCAACAAGUGUCCAGUCGCCAGUGAAUCUGCCGCUUCCGUGUCCGCUGUCCUCCAAGAGGAGUUUUCAGCUGAUAAGAGUCUUCCUGCACCCGCAGCACUGCCUCUAAGGCUGCCCUGCACCCACAGCAUUGACCACAAACAGCUGUGGGAGAAAGUUGAGGACAACACAGAGUUCUCAGUAGACAAAGAAGCAACUGUUGCCAUUUACACUUGGGAAGAUAAAAGUCCUUCAGUUCUGCCAUGCAUCCACAACAACAACGACCACCAUCUGCCAGAGGAGACAGUUGAGGACAACACAGAGUGCUCAGUUGACACCGAGGCAAGUGCAGUUGCAUCCACUGUCAAGAGAGAGGAACUGACAGGUGAUAAAAGCCCUGUCCGAACAAUUCCUCCAAUCCUGGGAUGCAUCCAUGACAAGGACCACAAGGAGCCAGAGCAGAAAGUGAAGGGCCCUAGUGAAGAGGUGGAUCUCUGCCCUCACGCUCACCAGCUGGACCCAGAUGUUAACUUAACUCUGGCAACCCGCAAUGAUGAACCCAGGACCUGGACCCUGGAAGAGGCAAAGGUAGGUGUCCUAUUUUACACUAAUACUUUAACAGGUAUGGGGGUCAGUUCCAUUUCAAUUCAAAGCAUUGAAGAGAAUUGGAAUUUUAGAGUUCUUCUUGAAUUGACUGGAAUUGACCCCAACCUUGCUGCUCUUUGCUCAUAGUAUGAAACAUCACCCCUCACUUGAGUUAACAUUUGUAAAACAAGGGACCUUAAUUACUGUCCUCCAAAUUGUGUGCCCCAUGAGGUCAUCAUUGUAUGUCGAUCACUCAAAUGUGUAUUGAACGUGACACAUUGGAACAAUAUUACAUCUAGAGUCAAUGUCUUCCUGUCAGGAUUAUUGGAUAGGCAUUGAAAUUGAGAGUGAAGAGAGAAGCGUCAAGGAGGAGGUGAGACAGAGGGAGGGAUUGAAGCGUGAGGCGGACUGUGCCCAUUCCAAGAGCUCCAAUGGGAUGGCUUCAUCAGAGAGAGCAGAGACCAUCCUUGGAAGAGUGGGCUUUCUGGUCAUGAACCACAUGCAGAAAAUCCCAUUUUUGAAGAUGAAGGAAAAAGAGAAAAAUAAGAAACUGCAUAAGAAGUUGAAAGAUGAUGAGAAAGAGAGAAAGGAGAAGAAAAACAAGGAGGAGGAGAACAAAAAGAGGGAGAAGAAAGAGAUGAAUGAGAGAGAGAAAGAGCAGAAGAAAUUCAUGAAGGCUGAGAAAAAGAGGGAGAAGUUAGAACAGAAAAAGAGAGAGAAGGAAAGAAAAGAGAAGGAAAAGGCAGAGAAAAAGAGGUUAGAGGGGCUGAUGACGAUACAUAAUGACAUGAUGAAAGACAGGAUUAAGAAAGAGAAGCGGUGUUCUGAGGAGCUGAAAAAGAGAGAGAAAGCUCAAGCUGAGUUCUUGGAGAUGGAGAGAAAGAUUCAAGAAAAGGAGGAGAAGAAGAGAGAAAAGAGGAGGAAAGAGGAGAGGAAGAGACUAGAGAAGAAGAAAAAGAGUGAGCCAGCUGGAGGUGGAACUGAGAGGGUGAUAGAAUAGCAGGGAAAGGAUGAACGCUUGAAGAUGGAUGAGUAGAUUGGGUAUUAGAGAGAGAGAGCAGGGCGGGAUACUGUAUUUUUGCAUGCAAUGAAAAAUGCAAUAAAAAAAUCAAUAAAAAAGGUUUACUCUCUGUUUGAUUUUUGUCAAGGCAUACUGUAUAACACAGUAUAAACACACAAUGUAUACAUUUCACAAAUCUGGGGAGUGUUGCACUGUUAAAAUGUUGAAUUCCAAAUCUACCCGAUGGAGCGGAGCUAUUCUGAGAUGAGGAGGACGGAAAGGGAGGGGGAGUAGAUGGAGGGUAGAGAUGAGUUUGUUAGAGAGGAAAUUGAUAGAGAUGAAUAUGACACAGAGGAAUAUGAUAGAGAGGAAUAUGAUAGAGUGUAAUACGAUAGAGAGGAAUAUGAUAGAGAGGAAUAUGAUAGAGAGGAAUAUGAUAGAGGGGAAUAUGAUGAAGGGAAGAUGAUAGAGAGGAAUAUGAUAGAGUGGAAAACGAUAGAGAGGAAUAUGAUAGAGUGGAAUACGAUUGAGAGGAAUAUGAUAAAGAGGAAUAUGAUAGAGAGGAAUAUGAUAGAGAGGAAUAUGAUAGAGUGGAAUAUGAUAGAGUGGAAUACGAUAGAGAGGAAUAUGAUAGAGAGGAAUAUGAUAUAGAGGAAUAUGAUACAGAUGAAUAUACUAGAGAUACUAGAGAGGAAAUGAUAUUUUAUUUAACUGAACAUUUAUUUAACUAGGCAAGUCAGUUA
ensembl:lncRNA